GGACUACCCGGGUUUCUAAUCCUGUUUGCUCCCCACGCUUUCGCGUCUCAGCGUCAGUUGGUGUCCAGGAAGCCGCCUUCGCCACUGGUGUUCCUCCUGAUAUCUACGAAUUUCACCUCUACACCAGGAAUUCCACUUCCCUCUCCACCACUCAAGACUGGUAGUUUCAGGUGCAGUUCCUGGGUUGAGCCCAGGGAUUUCACAUCUGACACACCAGUCCACCUACACGCGCUUUACGCCCAGUAAUUCCGAGCAACGUUUGCACCCUCUGUCUUACCGCGGCUGCUGGCAC
rnacentral:rRNA from 1 species